rnacentral:lncRNA from 1 species
GGGGACCUGUGGGCUCCCAGAGAUGGGCUUCCCUUUCCUGUUAUGUGGGCUUCCCACUCUUUCUAUUAGCAACUAGGCAUUUUCAGGUCAAAAGUUGAUGAGAUGAUGAGCCAGAACUCAGCCCACUCCAGGAUCCUCCAGGAUUCCUCACACUGAACUUUAAACGCAAAGGUCUUUCCAGGUCUUGUCAAAAACUCAAAAUGCUCAACAGGCACCAUAAACUAGUGUGGUGAGGCGAAGCCUGAGAUGGGUGAUGAAAGGGCAUUGGGGGAAGGGCCGUCAGGAAGUUCCAGGGUCUGAAGAGGCUGCUCCACCCAAACUAUUCUUUCAUGGAAAACAAAAAAACAAAAGGCCAGAGGCAAUCCGUGUUUGGGGUAAAAUAUCCCAAUUUUAGCCAUGGUAUAUAUCCAGAUCUGUCCCAUAGACUGUAAACACAUGCACACUCCACUUCCACCCAAGCACACUCAGAGUAGUUUCUAAUAGUAAAAUUGUAGUGCUCUUCAUGUUAGGACAAAGAGCUGGUUUGAUGGACUGGGAUUGACGAUUCUGGCCUAGGCUGAGCUAGUGCUUCUCUGAAGUCCCCAUCCAAAUAUACCUCUCAUGCCCUCAGAUCAUCUAAAUAUUCUCUCUGCACAAUGUACAUGCUGCAGUGCAGCCCCAAGGGCAGAGCUGGAAACUCCCGAUGUUCCCGAUUAGGCACAGGCCCUUGUGUUUGUCACUUUCUUGUGACAGAAAGCACCUUCAGGAAGAAGGUUUAUUUUGGCUCAAGAUUUGAAGGAGGCCCAGCAUGUCAGGGCAGCAGGUGUGGGAGAGGGGGGUCCAGCAUGUCAGGGCAGCAGGUGUGGGGGAGAGGGGUCCAGCAUGUCAGGGCAGCAGGUGUAGGGGAGGGGGGUCCAGCAUGUCAGGGCAGCAGGUGUGAAGUGGGGGGUCUAGCUUGUCAAGGCAGUAGAUUUGGGGGAGAGGGGUUCAGCAUGUCAGGGCAGUAGGUGUGGUGGAUACAUCUGUAUCAUGCUGAACACAGAUAUCAUCAUAACACCAUAUACCACAG